UAUAUUUCUUGCCUCUACCAAU
rnacentral:miRNA from 18 species